rnacentral:rRNA from 1 species
GAUGAACGCUAGCUACAGGCUUAACACAUGCAAGUCGAGGGGUAGCACGUAGGAAGCUUGCUUCCUUGGGUGACGACCGGCGCACGGGUGAGUAACGCGUAUCCGACCUACCCAUAACACGGGCACAGCCGAUCGAAAGAUCGAUUGAUUCCCGAUAUGUUAUAUAAGUAUAUUAUAUAAUGAAAGAUUCAUCGGUUAUGGAUGGGGAUGCGUAAGAUUAGGUAGUAGGCGGGGUAACGGCCCACCUAGCCGACGAUCUUUAGGGGUUCUGAGAGGAAGGUCCCCCACACUGGUACUGAGACACGGACCAGACUCCUACGGGAGGCAGCAGUGAGGAAUAUUGGUCAAUGGGCGGAAGCCUGAACCAGCCAAGUAGCGUGAAGGAUUACAGCCCUACGGGUUUUAAACUUCUUUUAUAUAAGAGUAAUGUGCACUACGUGUAGUGUAUUGCAAGUAUUAUAUGAAUAAGCAUCGGUUAACUCCGUGCCAGCCGCCGCGGUAAUAC